AUGCUUGAUAUUGUAGGAAGAUUUGGUGUUGUGAAUCCGUUACUGUACUACAGGUUGGGAUACAGCAUUUUGGACUGGUUAUGGGCAGGGGCAGCAGCAAGUUUUGGAGCUAUUGUUUGUGCAAAUUUUUUGACUUGUUUUUGGACUGAUAUGCAGGGUUUGGAGCAGCAUACAACAUCAGUUUUUUUGGAACUAUUUGGCAGCAAGAUAGUAGCAUAG